rnacentral:rRNA from 1 species
AAUGAACGCUGGCGGCAUGCCUUACACAUGCAAGUCGAACGGUAACAGGUCUUCGGAUGCUGACGAGUGGCGAACGGGUGAGUAAUACAUCGGAACGUGCCUAGUAGUGGGGGAUAACUACUCGAAAGAGUGGCUAAUACCGCAUGAGAUCUACGGAUGAAAGCAGGGGAUCGCAAGACCUUGUGCUACUAGAGCGGCCGAUGGCAGAUUAGGUAGUUGGUGGGAUAAAAGCUUACCAAGCCGACGAUCUGUGGCUGGUCUGAGAGGACGAUCAGCCACACUGGGACUGGGACACGGCCCAGACUCCUACGGGAGGCAGCAGUGGGGAAUUUUGGACAAUGGGCGCAAGCCUGAUCCAGCAAUGCCGCGUGCAGGAUGAAGGCCUUCGGGUUGUAAACUGCUUUUGUACGGAACGAAAAGCCCUGGGUUAAUACCCUGGGGUCAUGACGGUACCGUAAGAAUAAGCACCGGCUAACUACGUGCCAGCCGCCGCAGUAACAC